UAGCCGUAAACGAUACUCGCUAGGUGUCGGCCACGGUGCGACCGUUGUCGGUGCCGUAGGGAAGCCGUGAAGCGAGCCACCUGGGAAGUACGGCCGCAAGGCUGAAACUUAAAGGAAUUGGCGGGGGAGCACCACAACGGGUGGAGCUUGCGGUUUAAUUGGAUUCAACGCCGGAAAUCUUACCGGGACCGACAGCAACAUGAAGGCCAGGCUGAGGACUUUGCCGGAUUAGCUGAGAGGUGGUGCAUGGCGUAGUCGUGU
rnacentral:rRNA from 1 species